rnacentral:miRNA from 1 species
UCACUGAGGUCAAGGGUCAACU